AUGUCUGUCAUUCUAUCUGUCCAUCAGUCCACCCAUCCAUCUGCCUAUAAUUCUUUCUGUCCGUCUGUCCACCCGUCCAUCCGUCUAUCAUUCUAUCUGUCCAUCUGUCCGCCCCUCCAUCUGUCUAUCAUUCUAUCUGUCCAUCUAUAUGUCAUUCUAUCUGUCCAUCUGUCCGCCCCUCCAUCUAUCAUUUUAUUUGUCCAUCUGUCAGUCAUUCUAUCUGUCCAUCCAUCUGCCCGUCCAUCUGUUUAUCAUUCUAUCUGUCCAUCCAUCCGCCCGUCCAUCUGUCUAUCCUUCUAUCUGUCCAUCUGUCCGCCCCUCCAUCUGUUUAUCAUUCGAUCUGUCCAUCCAUCCGCCCGUCCAUCUGUCUAUCCUUCUAUCUGUCCAUCUGUCCGCCCCUCCCUCUGUCUAUCAUUUUAUCUGUCCAUCUGUCUGUCAUUCUAUCUGUACAUCCAUCCGCCCGUCCAUCUGUCUAUCAUUCUAUCUGUCCAUCCAUCCGCCCGUCCCUCUGUCUAUCAUUCUAUCUGUCCAGCUAUAUGGCAUUCUAUCUGUCCAUCUGUCCACCCCUCCAUCUGUCUAUCAUUCUAUCUGUCCAUCUGUCCGCCCCUCCAUCUAUCAUUCUAUUUAUCCAUCUGUCUGUCUUUCUAUCUGUCCAUCCGUCCAUCGGUCUAUCAUUCUAUCUGUCCAUCUGUCUGUCAUUCUCUCUGUCCAUCCAUCCGCCCGUCCAUCUGUCUAUCCUUCUAUCUGUCCAUCUGUCCGCCCCUCCAUCUGUCUAUCAUUCUAUCGCUCCAUCUGUCUUUCAUUCUAUCUGUCCAUCCAUCUGCCCGUCCAUCUGUUUAUCAUUCUAUCUUUCCAUCCAUCCGCCCGUCCAUCUGUCUAUCAUUCUAUCUGUCCAUCCAUCCGCCCGUCCAUCUGUCUAUCAUUCUAUCUGUCCAUCUGUCCACCCCACCAUCUGUCUAUCAUUUUAUCUGUCCAUCUGUCUGUCAUUCUUUCUGUCCAUCCAUCCAUCUGUCUAUCAUUCUAUCUGUCCGUCCAUCCGCCCGUCCAUCUGUCUAUCAUUCUAUAUGUCCAUCUAUAUGUCAUUCUAUCUGUCCAUCUGGCCGCCCCUCCAUCUAUCAUUUUAUUUGUCCAUCUGUCAGUCAUUCUAUCUGUCCAUCCAUCUCCCCGUCCAUCUGUUUAUCAUUCUAUCUGUCCAUCCAUCUGCCCGCCCAUCUGUCUAUCAGUCUAUCUGUCCAUCUAUAUGUCAUUCUAUCUGUCCAUCUGGCCGCCCCUCCAUCUAUCAUUUUAUUUGUCCAGCUGUCAGUCAUUCUAUCUGUCCAUCCAUCUGCCCGUCCAUCUGUUUAUCAUUCUCUCUGUCCAUCCGUCCGCCCGUCCAUCUGUCUAUCAUUCUAUCUGUCCAUCUGUCUGUCCUUCUAUCUGUCCAUCCGUCCAUCGGUCUAUAAUUCUAUCUGUCCAUCUGUCUGUCAUUCUGUCUGGCCAUCCGUCCAUCUGUCUAUAAUACUAUCUGUCCUUCUGUCCGCCCUUUCAUCCAUCUAUCAUUUUAUCUGUCCAUCCGUCCACCCGUCUAUCUGUGAGUCAUUCUGUCCAUCCAUCCAUCCAUCCAUCCAUCUAUCGUUCUAUCUAUCUGUCUGUGUAUCCAUCCCUCCUUCCAUCCGGCUGUCUGUCAUUCUAUCUGUCCAUCUGUCUGCCCGUCUGUCUAUCUGUUCAUCUGUCCAUCCAUCCAUCUGUCUAUCAUUCUAUCUGUCCGUCCAUCCGCCCGUCCAUCUGUCUAUCAUUCUAUCUGUCCAUCUAUCUGUCAUUCUAUCUGUCCAUCUGUCCACCCCUCCAUCUGUCUAUCAUUUCAUCUGUCCAUCUGUCUGUCAUUCUAUCUGUCCAUCUGUCUGUCAUUCUGUCUGUCCAUCCGUCCAUCUGUCUAUAAUACUAUCUGUCCUUCUGUCCACCCUUUCAUCCAUCUAUCAUUUUAUCUGUCCAUCCGUCCACCCGUCUAUCUGUCAGUCAUUCUGUCCAUCCAUCCAUCUAUCGUUCUAUCUAUCUGUCUGUCUAUCCAUCCAUCCAUCCAUCCGGCUGUCUGUCAUUCUAUCUGUCCAUCUGUCUGCCCGUCUGUCUAUCUGUUCAUCUGUCCAUCCAUCCGUCCUUCCAUUCAUCACUCUAUCAUUCUAUCUGUCCGUCUGUCUAUCUAUCUGUCAACCUUUCUAUCUGUCCGUCCAUCCUUGUAUCCAACUAUCAUUUUAUCUGUCCAUCCACCCAUCUGUCUGUCAGUCAUUCUGUCUGUCCAUCCAUCCAUCUAUUGUUCUAUCUGUCUGUCCGUCCAUCCACCCACCCAUCUGUCUAUUUGUCUCUCCGUCUGUCUGGCCAUUCAUCCGUCUAUCAUUCUGUCUGUCUGUCCACCCAUCCAUCUGUCUACCAUUCUAUCUGUCCAUCCAUCCUAUCCAUCUAUCAUUUUAUCUGUUGAUCCACCCAUCUGUCUGUCAUUCUAUGUCUUUUCGUCAGUUCAGCUGUCUAUCAUUCUAUCUGUUCAUCUGUCCGUCCCUCCAUCUGUCCAUCAUUCUAUCUGUCCGUCUACCCAUCUAUCAUUCUAUUUGUCUGUCAUUCUGA
ensembl:lncRNA